rnacentral:rRNA from 1 species
AUGAUGACGCGCAAGAGAACAUCUACACCAUCCAAGACGGAAGCCUGGAAGCGGAGAAGGAAGCGCCAAGAAGAAGGCAGCAACUCCCAGGCGACCCCGUGCGCACGGGCCCCUCCGACCCCGUGCCCACGGGCCUCCCAGGCUGGCAGUCCUGAAGACCCCGUGCGCACGGGCUUGUACCGUGCCCACGGGACCCCCGUGUCCACGGGCCUAACGGACCCCGUGCGCACGGGCCCUUGUGUCCGGUCCCUGGAUACCCCGUGCGCUCGGGCUCCACUUACCCCGUGCACACGGGGCCCCCUGAGAGAUAUUGCGGGCUUUGCCCUUGUUUUACCAUUUCGCCCCCACUUACCCCUCUCUUUGCCUAGGACUAUAUAUACUCCUUCAUCUCCUCCAUUUAGACUUAGCUAA